rnacentral:sRNA from 1 species
GGAAAUGCUCUACAGGAGCCCGGACAGAGUAGGAUGGCAUCGAGCCCAUGUGGGAGGACAGCAGGAAUAAGCGGGGUGGCCGCUGGCUGGUCAGCCUGGCCAAGCAGCAGCGCCACAUUGAGCUGGACCGGCUGUGGCUGGAGACGCUGCUGUGUCUGAUCGGGGAGAGCUUUGAGGAACACAGCAGAGAGGUAUGUGGGGCCGUCGUCAACAUCCGCACCAAGGGGGACAAGAUCGCUGUGUGGACGAGGGAGGCGGAAAACCAGGCGGGCGUGCUGCACAUUGGGCGUGUAUACAAAGAGCGCCUGGGCCUCUCCCCAAAGACCAUCAUUGGGUACCAGGCCCAUGCAGACACAGCCACCAAGAGCAACUCCCUAGCCAAGAACAAGUUUGUGGUGUGAGGGGGGCCUUGGCACCCCUCCUAUGUAAUGGGACAGCCACCACUGAGCCUCAUUACUUUGGGGGAUGGGGCGGGACUGGGGAUCAGACAGCCUAGUUCUUACCUGUCCUCAAGUGAACAGGAAUGCAAACAUUCUUUAACAUGAGUUGGGGCCUGAGCCU